GAAACUGCGAAUGGCUCAUUAAAUCAGUUAUCGUUUAUUUGAUAGUACCUUACUACAUGGAUAACCGUGGUAAUUCUAGAGCUAAUACAUGCUAAAAAUCCCGACUUCGGAAGGGAUGUAUUUAUUAGAUUAAAAACCAAUGCCCUUCGGGGCUCUCUGGUGAUUCAUAAUAACUUCUCGAAUCGCACGGCCUUGCGCCGGCGAUGGUCCAUUCAAAUUUCUGCCCUAUCAACUUUCGACGGCUGGGUCUUGGCCAGCCGUGGUGACAACGGGUAACGGAGGGUUAGGGCUCGACCCCGGAGAAGGAGCCUGAGAAACGGCUACUACAUCCAAGGAAGGCAGCAGGCGCGCAAAUUACCCAAUCCCGACACGGGGGGGUAGUGACAAUAAAUACUGAUACAGGGCUCUUUCGGGUCUUGUAAUUGGAAUGAGUACAAUUUAAAUCCCUUAACGAGGAACAAUUGGAGGGCAAGUCUGGUGCCAGCAGCCGCGGUAAUUCCAGCUCCAAUAGCGUAUAUUAAAGUUGUUGAGGUUAAAAAGCUCGUAGUUGAACCUUGGGCCUAGCCGGCCGGUCCGCCUCAC
rnacentral:rRNA from 1 species